UACUUUUAAUUGGGGGGGUUAGUAAUGAUUGCCCUUUUGCCCACCUCUUUUACGUGUGUCUGUUUGUGCAUCACGAACCAGUAGAAACAUAGGAAAACCUGACACAGCGGCUGCAUGGCCAGGAAGAUCAAAAGAAAAGAUAUUGGGUUGCAUGCGAAAAGUUUUUCUUGGGGAGGGUUUCAAGAACAAGUACUCGAGGUUUGUGUAUAAAAGGGAGCUCAACGAUGAGAUUCUUCUCACACUUGACGAAAUAAAUCAAGUCAUGACGGCGUCGGGUGAAGAAACGAGCUUGGACAACUCCGUUCCGUGUAGCUGCGGUUAUAAUUCUCUUCUUUUAACAUUUUAAUACCCCUUUCUGUUGAAAUAAAAACAGAGAAGAAGUGUAUUUGGAGUCAAAAUAAAAUAUGUAGUUAAGGUGAAGUAUAUGGACGACAACGCAAUGGUAUGCCCAAGAGAUGUUGUUUUGUUUGCAAAACUUUUCCAGAUUA